ACGGCUGCUCCGGGGUGUGCGAAAGCGCUGAGAUGCGAACCGCUGUGAAAACAGUGGCCAGCGAACCCGACGAACUUGAUCCGGUUCAUACCGGCGGAAGAAGAGCGGGACCCUGAAGC
rnacentral:ncRNA from 2 species